UUCUUAAAGAAUUUAAUUUUAAGUAUAACCUGCUCAAUGAUAAUUAAAUAGCCGCAGUUAAUCUGUGCUAAGGUAGCAUAAUCAUUUGCUUUCUAAAUAAAAGAUAGAAUGAAAGGUUAAACGAUAAAAUAUUUUUUAAUAUUAUAUAAUUAAAUUAUUUUUAAAGUAAAAAAUCUUUAAUAAAUAAACUAGACGAUAAGACCCUAAUAAACUUAUUCAAUUAGUUGGGGCAACAAAAUAAUUUUAUUUUAUUUAAAAAAUUAAUAAAACUUAAUAAAAAAUUUAAUUUAGUUACUAUAGGGAUAACAGCGCAAUUUCUUUUAAAAGUUCAUAUUAAAAAAGAAUAUUACGACCUCGAUGUUGAAUUAAUUUAACUAUUAAAUGCAAAAAUUUAAUAAGUAAGUCUGUUCGACUUAUAAUAAAUU
rnacentral:rRNA from 1 species